UUUAAAGAGAGUUUGAUCCUGGCUCAGGACGAACGCUGGCGGCGUGCCUAAUACAUGCAAGUCGAACGAACGGAGGAAGGGCUUGCUCUUCCAAAGUUAGUGGCGGACGGGUGAGUAACACGUGGGCAACCUGCCUGUAAGUUGGGGAUAACUCCGGGAAACCGGGGCUAAUACCGAAUGAUAAAGUGUGGCGCAUGCCA
rnacentral:rRNA from 1 species